rnacentral:rRNA from 1 species
AGGGAAACCGAGUCUUAAUUGGGCGUUAAGUUGCAGGGUAUAGACCCGAAACCCGGUGAUCUAGCCAUGGGCAGGUUGAAGGUUGGGUAACACUAACUGGAGGACCGAACCGACUAAUGUUGAAAAAUUAGCGGAUGACCUGUGGCUGGGGGUGAAAGGCCAAUCAAACCGGGAGAUAGCUGGUUCUCCCCGAAAGCUAUUUAGGUAGCGCCUCGUGAAUUCAUCUCCGGGGGUAGAGCACUGUUUCGGCUAGGGGGCCAUCCCGGCUUACCAACCCGAUGCAAACUGCGAAUACCGGAGAAUGUUAUCACGGGAGACACACGGCGGGUGCUAACGUCCGUCGUGAAGAGGGAAACAACCCAGACCGCCAGCUAAGGUCCCAAAGUCAUGGUUAAGUGGGAAACGAUGUGGGAAGGCCCAGACAGCCAGGAUGUUGGCUUAGAAGCAGCCAUCAUUUAAAGAAAGCGUAAUAGCUCACUGGUCGAGUCGGCCUGCGCGGAAGAUGUAACGGGGCUAAACCAUGCACCGAAGCUGCGGCAGCGACGCUGAUGCGUUGUUGGGUAGGGGAGCGUUCUGUAAGCCUGUGAAGGUGGCCUGUGAGGGUUGCUGGAGGUAUCAGAAGUGCGAAUGCUGACAUAAGUAACGAUAAAGCGGGUGAAAAGCCCGCUCGCCGGAAGACCAAGGGUUCCUGUCCAACGUUAAUCGGGGCAGGGUGAGUCGACCCCUAAGGCGAGGCCGAAAGGCGUAGUCGAUGGGAAACGGGUUAAUAUUCCCGUACUUGGUGUUACUGCGAAGGGGGGACGGAGAAGGCUAUGUUGGCCGGGCGACGGUUGUCCCGGUUUAAGCGUGUAGGUGUGUGUUCCAGGUAAAUCCGGUUCACUUUAACACUGAGGCGUGAUGACGAGGCACUACGGUGCUGAAGCAACAAAUGCCCUGCUUCCAGGAAAAGCCUCUAAGCAUCAGGUAACAUCAAAUCGUACCCCAAACCGACACAGGUGGUCAGGUAGAGAAUACCAAGGCGCUUGAGAGAACUCGGGUGAAGGAACUAGGCAAAAUGGUGCCGUAACUUCGGGAGAAGGCACGCUGACACGUAGGUGAAGUGAUUUACUCAUGGAGCUGAAGUCAGUCGAAGAUACCAGCUGGCUGCAACUGUUUAUUAAAAACACAGCACUGUGCAAACACGAAAGUGGACGUAUACGGUGUGACGCCUGCCCGGUGCCGGAAGGUUAAUUGAUGGGGUCAGCGCAAGCGAAGCUCCUGAUCGAAGCCCCGGUAAACGGCGGCCGUAACUAUAACGGUCCUAAGGUAGCGAAAUUCCUUGUCGGGUAAGUUCCGACCUGCACGAAUGGCGUAAUGAUGGCCAGGCUGUCUCCACCCGAGACUCAGUGAAAUUGAACUCGCUGUGAAGAUGCAGUGUACCCGCGGCAAGACGGAAAGACCCCGUGAACCUUUACUAUAGCUUGACACUGAACAUUGAGCCUUGAUGUGUAGGAUAGGUGGGAGGCUUUGAAGUGUGGACGCCAGUCUGCAUGGAGCCGACCUUGAAAUACCACCCUUUAAUGUUUGAUGUUCUAACGUGGACCCGUGAUCCGGGUUGCGGACAGUGUCUGGUGGGUAGUUUGACUGGGGCGGUCUCCUCCUAAAGAGUAACGGAGGAGCACGAAGGUUGGCUAAUCCUGGUCGGACAUCAGGAGGUUAGUGCAAUGGCAUAAGCCAGCUUGACUGCGAGCGUGACGGCGCGAGCAGGUGCGAAAGCAGGUCAUAGUGAUCCGGUGGUUCUGAAUGGAAGGGCCAUCGCUCAACGGAUAAAAGGUACUCCGGGGAUAACAGGCUGAUACCGCCCAAGAGUUCAUAUCGACGGCGGUGUUUGGCACCUCGAUGUCGGCUCAUCACAUCCUGGGGCUGAAGUAGGUCCCAAGGGUAUGGCUGUUCGCCAUUUAAAGUGGUACGCGAGCUGGGUUUAGAACGUCGUGAGACAGUUCGGUCCCUAUCUGCCGUGGGCGCUGGAGAACUGAGGGGGGCUGCUCCUAGUACGAGAGGACCGGAGUGGACGCAUCACUGGUGUUCGGGUUGUCAUGCCAAUGGCACUGCCCGGUAGCUAAAUGCGGAAGAGAUAAGUGCUGAAAGCAUCUAAGCACGAAACUUGCCCCGA